rnacentral:rRNA from 1 species
UGAGUUUGAUCAUGGCUCAGGAUGAACGCUAGCGGGAGGCCUAACACAUGCAAGUCGAACGGGAUUGAGAGCUUGCUCUCAUGAGAGUGGCGCACGGGUGAGUAACGCGUAUGCAACCUACCUUAAACAGAGGGAUAGCCCAGAGAAAUUUGGAUUAAUACCUUAUAGUAAUAAAGAGUCGCAUGACUUUUUAUUUAAAGCUCCGGCGGUUUAAGAUGGGCAUGCGUGACAUUAGUUAGUUGGUAAGGUAACGGCUUACCAAGACUACGAUGUCUAGGGGUUCUGAGAGGAUGAUCCCCCACACUGGUACUGAGACACGGACCAGACUCCUACGGGAGGCAGCAGUGAGGAAUAUUGGUCAAUGGGCGCAAGCCUGAACCAGCCAUCCCGCGUGAAGGAAGACUGCCCUAUGGGUUGUAAACUUCUUUUAUGUACCAAGAAUGUGAGCUACGUGUAGCUUUUUGACGGUAGUACAUGAAUAAGCAUCGGCUAACUCCGUGCCAGCAGCCGCGGUAAUACGGAGGAUGCGAGCGUUAUCCGGAUUCAUUGGGUUUAAAGGGUGUGUAGGCGGCUUAUUAAGUCAGUGGUGAAAUGUUGCCGCUCAACGGUAAAAUUGCCAUUGAUACUGCAUCUCUUGAGUAUGGUUGAGGUAGGCGGAAUGUGUUGUGUAGCGGUGAAAUGCAUAGAUAUGACACAGAACACCGAUUGCGAAGGCAGCUUACUAAGCCAUUACUGACGCUGAGGCACGAAAGCGUGGGGAGCGAACAGGAUUAGAUACCCUGGUAGUCCACGCCGUAAACGAUGUUCACUCGCUGUCUGCGAUACACAGUAGGCGGCUGAGCGAAAGCAUUAAGUGAUCCACCUGGGGAGUACGAUCGCAAGGUUGAAACUCAAAGGAAUUGACGGGGGCCCGCACAAGCGGAGGAACAUGUGGUUUAAUUCGAUGAUACGCGAGGAACCUUACCUGGGCUUAAAUGUAGAUUGCAUAGAUUAGAGAUAGUCUUUUUUCGGGACAAUUUACAAGGUGCUGCAUGGUUGUCGUCAGCUCGUGCCGUGAGGUGUCGGGUUAAGUCCCAUAACGAGCGCAACCCCUAUCGUUAGUUGCUAGCAGGUAAUGCUGAGGACUCUAGCGAGACUGCCACCGUAAGGUGAGAGGAAGGUGGGGAUGACGUCAAAUCAGCACGGCCCUUACGUCCAGGGCUACACACGUGCUACAAUGGCCGGUACAGAGGGUUGCCAAGCCGCGAGGUGGAGCUAAUCCCAGAAAGCGCGUCGUAGUCCGGAUUGCACUCUGCAACUCGAGUGCAUGAAGUCGGAAUCGCUAGUAAUCGCGGAUCAGAAUGUCGCGGUGAAUACGUUCCCGGGUCUUGUACACACCGCCCGUCACACCAUGGGAGUGGACUCUGCCAGAAGUAGGUAGCCUAACUGUAAGGAGGGCGCUUACCACGGUGGGUUUCAUGACUGGGGUGAAGUCGUAACAAGGUUACC